rnacentral:rRNA from 1 species
ACAUAUUAAGUGAGGCAGCAGGCGCGCAAUUACCCAAUCCUGACUCAGGGAGGUAGUGACAAGAAAUAACAAUAGUUCGCCUUAGUGGUAAGCUAAUUGGAAUGAGUACAAUUUAAACAUCUUAACGAGCACCAAUUGGAGGGCAAGUCUGGUGCCAGCAGCCGCGGUAAUUCCAGCUCCAAUAGCGUAUACUAAAGUUGUUGCAGUUAAACAGCUCGUAGUUGGAUUUCUGCGUGGGUGGGGCGUCCACUGGCCUUAGGCCAGUUUGGACAGCAACGCACACGCAUCCUGCCGCGAACCACGCUACCAUUAGUUUGGUGGCGUCUGGGGAUCGGCUCGUUUACUUUGAGAAAAAUAGAGUGUUCAAAGCAGGCAUCGUGCCUUGAAUAAUGUAGCAUGGAAUAAUGAUUAAGGACUUUGGUUCUAUUUUGUUGGUGUUCGGGACUGAAGUAAUGAUUGAUAGGGACAGUUGGGGGCGUCUGUAUUCUGAAGCGAGAGGUGAAAUUCUUAGACCUUCGGAAGACAAACCGCUGCGAAAGCGUUCGCCAAGGAUGUUCCCUUUGAUCAAGAACGAAAGUUGGGGGAUCGAAGACGAUCAGAUACCGUCGUAGUCUCAACUAUAAACUAUACCAGCUAGGGAUCGGCCAACGUUGUAUACAAAAGACUUGGUCGGCACCUUAUGAGAAAUCAAAGCAUUUGGGUUCCGGGGGGAGUAUGGUCGCAAGGCUGAAACUUAAAGGAAUUGACGGAAGGGCACCACCAGGCGUGGAGCCUGUGGCUUAAUUUGACUCAACACGGGGAAACUUACCAGGUCCAGACAUGAGAAGGAUUGACAGAUUGACAGCUCUUUCUUGAUUUUAUGGGUGGUGGUGCAUGGCCGUUCUUAGUUGGUGGAGUGAUUUGUCUGGUUAAUUCCGUUAACGAACGAGACCCCAGCCUGCUAAAUAGCGCGCGUUGCCUCUGGCAGCGGCGAGCUUCUUAGAGGGACUAUGGCUGUUAUAGGCCAGGGAAGUUUGGGGCAAUAACAGGUCUGUGAUGCCCUUAGAUGUUCUGGGCCGCACACGGGCUACACUGACGCGUGCAACGAGCAUAUCAGCUGGUCCGACAGGACAAGGCUAAUCUUUUGAACUCGCGUCGUGCUAGGGAUUGACCAUUGCAAUUGUUGGUCAUGCAACGAGGAAUGCCUUGUAAACGCGAGUCAUCAACUCGCAUUGAAUACGUCCCUGCCCUUUGUACACACCGCCCGUCGCUCCUACCGAUGAAUGUUCCGAUGAAAUUUUCGGAGGGUGCCUGUGAAGCGGGCUCUGCCCGCGGAACGGAUGCCACAAAGUUGCUUAAAAUCGAAACUUUAGG